CCUACGGUGGGCAGCAGUCGAGAAUCAUUCACAAUGGGGGAAACCCUGAUGGUGCGACGCCGCGUGGGGGAAUGAAGGUCUUCGGAUUGUAAACCCCUGUCAUGUGGGAGCAAAUUAAAAAGAUAGUACCACAAGAGGAAGAGACGGCUAACUCUGUGCCAGCAGCCGCGGUAAUACAGCGGUCUCAAGCGUUGUUCGGAAUCACUGGGCGUAAAGCGUGCGUAGGCUGUGUCCUAAGUCGUGUGUGAAAGGCGCGGGCUCAACCCGCGAACGGCACAUGAUACUGGGAGACUAGAGUAAGGGAGGGGGAACCGGAAUUCGCGGUGUAGCAGUGAAAUGCGUAGAUAUCGAGAGGAACACUCGUGGCGAAGGCGGGUUCCUGGACAUUAACUGACGCUGAGGCACGAAGGCCAGGGGAGCGAAAGGGAUUAGAUACCCCGGUAGUC
rnacentral:rRNA from 1 species